rnacentral:lncRNA from 1 species
GACAUCAAGCAAGUCCCAGUUACAGAAAGAACCCACUGCAGGGCGUCCAGUCACUUGCCCAGUGAAAAGACUGUAAUCAGACAACUUUAAUAAAGGGAGAGCAGGAGAGUGGUGACGAAUUUCCACAUUCCGAACAAGCUUGUCGAAAGAGGAGUGCAGGGAAGGAGCAAGAAUGAGGCACUGGAAGACGGUGAGCGGGGCCUUGCCACAGAAUCCCGGGCCCACCUGCUUUCUCACAGUCGCGACAGCCGGCCCGGAGAAGGGCAGCCCAGCGAAGGGCACGCCCCGCGCGGGUGCCAGGGAGGCCGGCAGGGGCGUCCGCGGUCGCUGCUCACCUGCGCUCCCCGCUGCCCGGCCCAGCCCGCCUCGCCACCGAGUCUGGAAGCCCACACUCACCCCUUUACCCGGGAAACGCGGCCGGAGCCGGCGGCGGGUCGGGAGUCCGAGAUGGUAGAUCCCCCUCCAGGCGCCUCGCUGACAUUUUGUCCCGGACGGAAAACCUCCGCGCGUGCCCCUUAAAGACACAGCGCUGCAUUCACACGUCUGCGGGGAAAGGGGGGCCGUCACGUGUGGCCUUCGCCCGAAAGCGGUAGGGGAGUCGCUCUGAAACCGCCAAGGAUCGCGAGCGACAGAUUUGUGUUGGCCAGGGUUUUAAGAUGACGCAAUAGCUGAGUGUGGUUGAAAUGUAACUAUUGUUUUACAACUUUGCAUUAACCUUCCAAGACCUGAAUUCCCGGGCCUGAGUCUCAGAGCGCGGUUUGCAUCUUUGCAGGCUGUAGGCGCAUGAUGUCACAAGUUAUUGGAAGAAAUCCCUCCAACCUAGGUUGGGACAGAUGAAGGCGGCGCUUAUUGGUGUUCACCAAAACACCAGCAUGGUGUACCAGCUUUGGCUAGAUGAUGCUCAGAACACCAGAGACUGGGUAAUUAAUAAAAAGAAGAAAUUGAUCUGGCCUACAGUUCUGGAGCCUUGGAAGUCCGAGAUCAAGGAGCUGCAUCUGGAAAACACAGAUCCUGGUGCCGAACAUGAGGACAGGGCAGGCCGAAGGAGAAAGUGGAAGGAGGGGAGCUUCUCUCUCAGCCUCAUCCUUCUGGGCCUGGAUGCUGGAGAGUCAUGAGGUGCUUCAGAGUACUCUGGGUGAGGAGGGAAAGAUGGUGCCCACCACAUGGAGGCCAGCCUAGGUCUUGUAUGAAACCUGUGAGGUAUGAAGGAGUAAUUUUUCUUUCUAAGCCAUUUCUCUGCUUAUUUCUCAGAUCAGUGCCCUUUAUGUUUGAACUUGGUGUGAAUGACCAUCUUAGUGAUUCUUACUGCAAUGACAAUAGGGAGUUAAAUGACAUAAGUUUCUUUUUCAUGGGAAAGGAUAUAAAAAUGUAUCUGCAUGUGGUCAGUGUAGAAUAUUCCCAGCCAGAGGUGCAGUUUUCUGGAUCCCUCCCACAGACAUUGUGUGGAAGCACACCUAUUAACCGAUAAGGGGCGAAAUUUCACCAGAAUAGAGAAGCAUCCUCUUUGCCCUUUUCACAGGGGUGGGGAUGAGGUUAGGGGUGGGGUUAUACCUUCUUUGCUCACCCAGCUGCUUCUAUAUAUCUUAGCCUGGAUAUGCCUAAACUUAAGCCAAAACAAAAACUCAUAGACAGGUAGUUUAUUUGCAAAAUGAUACUAGGGAUCAGGAGUAAGGAAUGAGAGUAAAGCAGGGGAGGAAGAAAAGCCACUGCAAGCAUGCACUGUCAACAGAGGAAGGACCAACAAGCACAUGAAAGGUCUCAGUGUUACUAGUCACCAGAAUUCAAAUGAAAACCACCACGAGAUACCUACUAGAUGCCUAUUAGAAUGGCUACAUUAAAAAGACUGCAGCAACAAAUGUUGGUGAGGGUGUGGAACAGUCAGAGCUCUCAUCAAUUGUUGGUAGGGGUGUAAAUUGGUACAACUUUGGAAAGGUCUGGCACUUUCUUAAAAAACUAAACACACACUUUCUAUGACCCAGCAAUUUCAUUCCUAGAUAUUUGCCCAGCAGAAAUGAAAAUAUCUGUAUAUAAACAGACUUGUUUAAGAAUGUUCAUGGCCUGGCGUGGUGGCUCACGCCUGUAAUCCCAGCACUUUGGGAGGCUGAGGCGGGCGGAUCACGAGGUCAGGAGAUCGAGACCAUCCUGGCUAACAUGGUGAAACCCCGUCUCUACUAAAAAUACAAAAAAUUAGCUGGGCGUGGUGCAGGCGCCUGUAGUCUCAGCUACUUGGGAGGCUGAGGCAGGAGAAUGGCAUGAACCCAGGAGGUGGAGCUUGCAGUGAGCAGAGAUCGCGCCACUGCACUCCAGCCUGGGUGACAGAGCAAGACUCUGUCUCAAAAAAAAAAAAAAAAAAAAAGAGUGUUCACAGCAAGCAGCAUUAUGUGUUAUAGUCAGAAACUGGAAACAGGCCAGGCACGGUGGCUCAUGCCUGUAAUCCUAGCACUUUGAGAACCUCAGAUAGGAAGAUCGCUUGAGGCCAGGAGUUCGAGACCAGCCUGGGGAACAUAGCAAGACCCUGUUUUCACAAAAAAUAAAGACAUUAGCCAGGCAUGGUGGCACACAUCUGUAGUCCUAGCUACUUAGGAGGCUGAGGUGGGAGGAUCACUUGAGCCCAGGAGUUCAAGGCUGCAGUGACCUAUAAUCACCCACCCUGGGUGAUACAGUAAGACCUUGUUUCUAAACAAAACAAAACAAAACAAAAACUGGAAACAGCCCAUUAACAGAAGAAUGGAUAAAAAAACUGUGGUAUGUUCAUGCAAUGGAAUAUUGCCCAGCCAUAAAAAGGAAUAGAGUAUUGAUAUAAUAAUAUGGGUAAAUAUUAAAGCAUGCUGGGUGAAAAAAGCCUUACGCAAAAUAAUAUGGUAUUUUCCUAUUUAAAGUUCUAGAAUAGGCAGAACUAAUCUGCAAUGAAGAAAAAUCAAAAUAGUGAUCUGUGCAGAUGUGGGCGUACAAGUAGGAGUUGACAGAGAGCAGGCAUGAGGGAAUGUUCCUCUACAUCUUCAAAGGAGUUUGGGUUACACAUGUCAAUGUACUUUUCAAAACUUACUGAAUGGUACACUUACAAGUGUUCAUUUUAUUGAAUAUAAAUUUUGCCUUAAAAGAAAGACAUCAUAAAUGAAUACUGAAGUUUAGUUAAUGAUAUGCAUGCUGAAGUGUUAAGGGUGAAUUAUACUGUUAUCUGAAAAGUACUUUGAAAUGCAUUAAAAAUAAAAUAGAUUAGUAGAUGGAUAGAAUAAUAGAUAAAUGGAUAUACGUAUGAUAAAAGAAAUAGAAUAAGAUAUUAGUUGUACAAUCUAGAUAGGGAUAUAUGGGUUUUGACUGUAGCAUUCUUUCAACUUCUCUGUAUGCUUGAACAUUUUUAUAAUAAAAAGUGAGGUAAAAACAAAAA